CAGGCCUAACACAUGCAAGUCGAACGGCAGCACGGACUUCGGUCUGGUGGCGAGUGGCGAACGGGUGAGUAAUGUAUCGGAACGUGCCCAGUAGCGGGGGAUAACUACGCGAAAGCGUAGCUAAUACCGCAUACGCCCUACGGGGGAAAGCAGGGGAUCGUAAGACCUUGCACUAUUGGAGCGGCCGAUAUCGGAUUAGCUAGUUGGUGGGGUAACGGCUCACCAAGGCGACGAUCCGUAGCUGGUUUGAGAGGACGACCAGCCACACUGGGACUGAGACACGGCCCAGACUCCUACGGGAGGCAGCAGUGGGGAAUUUUGGACAAUGGGGGAAACCCUGAUCCAGCCAUCCCGCGUGUGCGAUGAAGGCCUUCGGGUUGUAAAGCACUUUUGGCAGGAAAGAAACGUCAUGGGUUAAUACCCCGUGAAACUGACGGUACCUGCAGAAUAAGCACCGGCUAACUACGUGCCAGCAGCCGCGGUAAUACGUAGGGUGCAAGCGUUAAUCGGAAUUACUGGGCGUAAAGCGUGCGCAGGCGGUUCGGAAAGAAAGAUGUGAAAUCCCAGAGCUUAACUUUGGAACUGCAUUUUUAACUACCGGGCUAGAGUGUGUCAGAGGGAGGUGGAAUUCCGCGUGUAGCAGUGAAGU
rnacentral:rRNA from 1 species